AGAAACAGGAAGAGAAGCAGGAGUCACACCAGUAAUUCAAGAGGCUCUUUGAUGCUGUUGCCCUCCCUAAGAUUAAGGUAAGGGGAAAAACAGGAUCAAGUCUACUUUCAUGGGGCUAAAAUAUAUGUAUAAUGAAUCUGUUUCAGGAGUCAGAAAGGCUUUCUUGGGCACCAAGGAUUUUGAAUUCUAGCUCAGGGGUGAGGGGACUAGAGUAAGAUUUAGGAAGUUUAACAGUUCCUCUCUCAGCCCCAGAAACCCCAGUGAGGGAAUCUCAAAAGUCUGGGACUCCCAAGAAAUCCCAGACUGUCAAAGCCAAGAAUUAAGGCUGCUCUUAGGUCUCUGAGAAAUUUUCUUGCUCAAAGUCAUCAUAGAUUGGCUGAACCCCCAGAGGGCAAAGCCAAAUCAUGAGGUUCACAUUAGAGGAACUGGGAGGUAGGUAAAGGCUGAAAAGCAGGAGGGAGAGAAAGGAACUGGGAAACAGGCCACAAGCUAAAGGUGUUUCAUAUGUUAAAGGAGGCUAGCCUCCACUCCUGCUGCCUUUCCUUGAGACCUUUAAAUAGUGGCUACAUCUAGGGAAUAGCCAUGAGCUUGGAGAACAUGGAGAACCUCCACACUUCUCUGCAAGGCACCUCAUCAUAACUGCUUUCCCUUUCUUGACCACGGGCUCCAGGGUGGCAGGAUCCUAGCCUGCUAGCAGGGAAUAGUGGGUACAAGAGCAAAGAAAGACGCCCAUCCUCAGCUCUUUUGUGGGGAGGAAGCUGAGGCCCCUCAGAUCUCUGUUCCAGGCUGAGGCAUCUGCUUGCCAAGGCUCCUCUUCCUUACCUUGAUUUUCUCCACUACCCCUUCCCACCCAGGCCUGUCUCGGCAUUUCACCCCAGGCAGCUCUACCUCUAUCCCCAAGGCCUAAUCAAGAUGUCACCAUAGGCUCCCACUGUCCAAGUCGCCGUCUUUGCUUAGCAACACCAAACACCCUUUCCCAUCCUCCGCAAGUAUAAGGAGGAACGCCCCCUCCCCCGCUACACACACACACACACACACACACACACACACACACACACACAGCCCCCAUCCUCUCCAUCUCCUCAGGCUUGGGAGUAGUUACUGAAUUGGCUCCCUAGCCCCAGCACCCCCCUUCCUCCCUCCACUAGCCGCCUUCUGCCUGAACUUACAUUAUCCUUCCCUUGCCGGUGAGACCCUGGGGUGCGAACGCGGCCGCCGCCUUGGAAACGGCGAGGGAGUGCGGGUGGUGUAUGCAUGUCUGCGUCUCAGUGGCAGGCAGGGGUGAGCCCAGCCACUCACCUUCCAGGAAGCGUGGAUUCCUGGAAGUGAGGGGAACCGCCGUCAUUUCGCAGGCAGCAGCAGCGGCACGGUGAGCAGAGGCCCACGGCUGCAGCCAGCAAGAGCAGCUCAGCCCAGGGUGUAUGUGUGUUGAGUGUGUGUGUGUGUGUGUGUGUGAGAGAGAGAGAGAGAGAGAGGGAGAGAAGGAGAGGGGAGAGCACGCUUGGAUGUGCUUGGGGAGGGGGCUGGAGAGAAUGUAUAUGUGUAUAUAGUGGGGGAGAUGCUAGGCUACAGCAUCCCUUUUCCAAGACAGUGAAGGGGGUGGGUGGUGGGUGUGUGCACAGGGAGGGAAAGGCAGAUGCUGUUGCCCCUCGUGCCCAGCAGACAAAGAGGAACUGCACAACAAAUGCCUGAGAGAGGCAAGAGUGUGUGCAAGAGAGAGAGAGAGAGAUGGAUGGGCCUGCGGGUGGGAGGGAGAAAGGGGGGGCCCUAGGGAAGGCCCAAUCCUCUGCCAGCUGGGGAAGCCAAGGCCCCAGAGGUCAUGGGGCCCAGGACACGGACAGCUUCAAGGCUCUCAGAGAGGCAGAAAGCCCCUCCCCCACCGAACUCUUUCCCUCCUCCUCCAGGAGGAAGGUUGCUCUCUAGAUGUGGGGACUGACAGCCUCCUCCUUUCCAGCAGUGAGAGGGCCCAGCAGAGUCUGGUGUCAGGCUAGUGUUGCUCCGUGGCCCUGAGACCUUUCAGAUCCCGGGCAAAAAGGCUGGUACGGUCUCCCCAUUUCCCCCCCUUCCUGUGCCCCUGGGGCCCCAGCAGCCGAAAGCCCUGGAUGAAUCCGCCCUCUAUCAGGACAAGGCCUCUGCUCCCUUCCCUUUCAGAGGAGCUGCUCACUGACAAACUGACCUACUUUGGAAGACUACAUUUUCUGAUUCCAAGAAUUUGGGGGUGGGAGGGGCUGUGAAACUUCGGGCUGCCUACCCCUGAAUCCCUUUCUACUAAAGUUCUCUAAAACAUUUCACAGUCUCAGAAAACUUGGGGCAAGCCCUGCUCAGUCAAUUAAUGGCAGGAGCUGGGUUUCAGCAACUCUGUUUCCCUUGAAAGAUAGGAAAAUGGAGGGGGUGGUUAUCUGUGCCAUAAAUUAAUAGACUCCUGCUUAUCUCCCCCUUUUCCCUGCCCCAGAAGGGAAUGAUCUGUACCUUUAAAAAGAGAAAAGGGGAGAAAAGAUGGAUUUUCUGAAUCACAUUCUGUGAGGAAUUCAAAUCUCUUGGAAGAACAGGAGAGAUACCCUUUUCAUCAAGUGGCCUGAUGAGGGAAGGUCACCUGGCGUGGAGCAGAAGAACUAUGAUGGCCUGUGGAGGCCCGCAGUGUGCUUCGGGAGGGCUGCAUGCUGCAGCCUUUCCCUCUGCUUCCAUAUGACUCUUCCAGGAGAGAUGGGUAGCUGCUGACAUCUAAAAUUCUCAAAGUACAGAGGAGGAGUUCCUGGCCUCCACUUCCAUUCAAAAACCAUCCUGUGCAGAGGCCACUUCUUAUCUAGGACAUGCCAAUCUGCUGAAAGCAGGGAAAACUUGGUUUCAUAGCACGGUGAAGCAAAUCACCUCCAUGAGUAUCCAAUAUUCUCCAUAAACAGGUUUGAAAAGAGCUCCACAGGAUUUGUAGUUUCUCAUUUGCCUGCUUUAUGGUAGGGACUGGAUUUUAUCCAUCUGAGUGUUCCCCAGCACUAAAGCAGGGUCCCAAGUGUACUUGUUGCUCAGUAGUGGUUUUCUGAAUAGGCUUAACUGAGCAGGAGGUAGGAGGACUGGCUCGCUCCUCACAAGGCCAUGACUUUUGUUCUAAUAAAGUCUCUUCCAAUUAAAUGAGUCUACCUGAUCCCUGUCAUUCUGUCAAGCAUGUGGCAGAUAUUGAAUGCCUUUACCCAUUCCAACUCCUUCCCUCCUUAAACAAGAAAGGGGUCAGAGUCAACAUCUUACCUUACAUUACCCGGGUGUUGCCAAUGACUCUCAUAUGUGUGUCUGACCCAUCUUGCUAUCUCCUUUAGUGCAUGCCAAUAAUUCCUUCAUUGGUCCUACUUUAGAGUAAAAAAUAAGCUAUAGGUCAUUUCCAAAAUGGUGCUUGGGUUUCUGAUAGGGAUACUCAUCACAUCAAAACCCAGUUUUGG
rnacentral:lncRNA from 1 species